rnacentral:SRP_RNA from 1 species
GGUCGGGUCCUGUGCAAUCGGAACUUGUGAACCGGGUCAGGGCCGGAAGGCAGCAGCUCUCAGCAGGAACUCCGAUGUGCCGCAGGCAGCCUGACCGUC